UCCACCUCGCCGGUGCACUGUCCCGUCAGGCGGCCGCUCAGGGACGGGCCCACGCCCCACAACCUGCUGACGGACGGGAUCGAAACCCUCUCUCCGGCGUGUUUAACCUGCAGUUCUGUCCUCCCGUCCACCUCGCCGGAGCGCCGCCUUGGUUCGGGAGAGAGUCCAGUACGAGUGGAACACAGUAGGAUUCCCCCAACCCAUGUUUGACCUAGGAGGUGCCCGGAGGUCAAGGCUGGAUGCGCCUACUUCAGAGAAGACACAAGUCGAGUUCCACACUGAUCGCCAUGAGUGAGACGUCCGGGUUGUCUGUGUGUAGAAUCUCAAGGACUUCCCAGAAGAAGAUCAAGGUGCUCGAGCAGAGGCACCAGAACUUCUACCCGCCAGCGUCGUGCAUCACGCCUUCCAUCACAUGAUGGCUAGGUCACAUUUGAAUUAGCAAAUUUGACAGAUAGAAGCAAUUGGCUUUGCCUGCUGAAGCAUACUCUCCAUUUGAUAGUAGCAGUCUUUUCUUUCUUUGCAAACAAAUCCUAUUUUAUCAAACAUGUGUUAUUUUUACUGGAAAUAUUUUCUCUUAGAUGGAAGCAAGAUAAUAUUUAGUUGUAAGCAAUUCUCUAGUCGAUGUAAACAAGAUGUGUGAGGCUUUUCAAACAUGUGGAAUAAUUUCCUUUUUGA